rnacentral:rRNA from 1 species
UACGAAGGGGGCUAGCGUUGCUCGGAAUUACUGGGCGUAAAGGGAGCGUAGGCGGACUGUUUAGUCAGAGGUGAAAGCCCAGGGCUCAACCUUGGAAUUGCCUUUGAUACUGGCAGUCUUGAGUACGGAAGAGGUAUGUGGAACUCCGAGUGUAGAGGUGAAAUUCGUAGAUAUUCGGAAGAACACCAGUGGCGAAGGCGGCUCGCUGGACAAGUAUCGACGCUGAGGUGCGAAAGCGUGGGUAGCAAACAGGAUUAGAAACCCGUGUAGU